GAUGAACGCUGGCGGCGUGCUUAACACAUGCAAGUCGAACGGAAAGGCUCCUGCUUGCCGGGGUACUCGAGUGGCGAACGGGUGAGUAAUACGUGGGGGAACUGCCCUGCACUUCGGGAUAAGCCUUGGAAACUGGGGCUAAUAUCGGAUAGGACGAUGGUUUGGAUGCCAUUGUGGAAAGAUUUUCGGUGUGGGAUGAGCUCGCGGCCUAUUAGCUUGUUGGUGGGGUAAUGGCCUACGAAGGCGUCGACGGGUAGCCGGCCUGAGAGGGUGUACGGCCACAUUAGGACUGAGAUACGGCCCAGACUCCUACGGGAGGCAGCAGUGGGGAAUAUUGCACAAUAGGCGCAAGCCUGAUGCAGCGACGCCGCGUGGGGGAUGACGGCCUUCGGGUUGUAAACUCCUUUCGCUAGGGACGAAGCGCAAGUGACGGUACCUGGAGAAGAAGCACCGGCUAACUACGUG
rnacentral:rRNA from 1 species